rnacentral:lncRNA from 1 species
CCUUCAGCCCACACCCACGUUGUUGAAGGGGGAAACGGUUUGUUGGUUUGUGAGCCCGGCAGCCUUUAGUCAAGUUCACCAACUUUUCCGCCACAGAGGAGAAUGUGUACCUGAGGGUGGCCUAGGAUAGGUCAGCCUGUUUUAUACUGGGUACUUUACUUUAAUGGAGUCUUUGAAAGACUUGUUUUAUAUCUAUAAAUCUAGGUUACUACAAAUAGAAGAUUUUUGUACCUUAAAUAAGUCUCAUUUCUAUUCCCCAUCAACUCACCAUUCAGUCCUGAAAGCAAACCUCCCAGAGAGAGGCUCAGUGGAGAGCCACUGAAGUCACUGUGUGUCCCCUCCUGCCACAGCUUUGAAUGACAGGAGGCCCCUCCCCGUCUGUUUUUUUAUCCCCUUGUAUCCCAUUACGCCUGUUCUGUGUGACCCAGGCAAGAGGGCAGAGUUGCCUAUACUCUGUCCCUAUCCCUGCCUAAGGGGAGCAGAGGGAAACUUCAAGGAGACUGGAAACUAAGAGUUUCAGACACGGGCAGCUAGGGAACCUAGAGCAGCAGCCUGCCCUCUGAUGGGGAUCCCUGUGGCUACCAUAGCUUAGCCACAGCAGGUGAGGUGCACACGAGGUGCACACACGAUGAUCGUUCUCUGCAAAUGGUCUGCAUUGCAGCCAGCUGUGUUCUGGUUGAAAUCCUCAGAUACAAAAACACACUGAGCACGGAUUUCAUACCGGGAGAUGAGUAGACGCUAACCGAGUGGCCCGGACACUUAGCUAUAGACGCCGUUCCUCCUGCCUGAAGUCCUGCAGACAGGGUAGACAUGAGAGUGCCUGCCGCUGUGUAUCAUUCUUCUCAUAGUGCUUCACUGUUCCGUCCGCCUCCUGUUCAGGCCGCCGACCACAGGGCCCAGGCAGGAGAAAGGGUAAACCCCACAGCCGUCUCCGCCCUUUGCCCAAACGUUUCCCAUGUCACGGGAAAUGACGGAAGGUCCCGCCAACCUCUGUAGCUCUGUUUGCACUGUUUAAAAAGAUAAACAUUAAUUCAGUUUGCAAGCUGCAUUCCCCUCUUGCUGUCCCCCCCACCCCCUUUUCUGUAACAUUUCAAUUUUACAUUCGCAAAGUGAAUUCAAAAACUCACUAACUCUGGGACGUG